rnacentral:rRNA from 1 species
AUACGUAGGGUCCAAGCGUUAUCCGGAAUUACUGGGUAUAAAGGGUGCGUGGGCGGCCUUGUGCGUCGAAGGUUAAAGGCCAUGGCUCAACCAUGGAAAUGCCCUCGAUACGGCAAGGCUUGAAUAUGAGAGAGGAAGAUGGAAUUCCUGGUGUAGCAGUGAAAUGCGUAGAUAUCAGGAGGAACACCGGUGGCGAAGGCGGUCUUCUGGCUCAUUAUUGACGCUGAGGCACGAAAGUGUGGGGAGCGAACAGGAUUAGAUACCCUGGUAGUCCACACCGUAAACGAUGUAUGCUUGGUGUUAGAACAAAUUGUUGUUCUAGUGCCGGAGAUAAUUUGUUAAGCAUACCACCUGGGAAGUACGAUCGCAAGGUUGAA